rnacentral:rRNA from 1 species
GAUGAACGCUGGCGGCGUGCCUAAUACAUGCAAGUCGAGCGAACAGACGAGGAGCUUGCUCCUCUGACGUUAGCGGCGGACGGGUGAGUAACACGUGGAUAACCUACCUAUAAGACUGGGAUAACUUCGGGAAACCGGAGCUAAUACCGGAUAACAUGUUGAACCGCAUGGUUCAACAGUGAAAGACGGUUUUGCUGUCACUUAUAGAUGGAUCCGCGCCGCAUUAGCUAGUUGGUAAGGUAACGGCUUACCAAGGCAACGAUGCGUAGCCGACCUGAGAGGGUGAUCGGCCACACUGGAACUGAGACACGGUCCAGACUCCUACGGGGGGCAGCAGUAGGGAAUCUUCCGCAAUGGGCGAAAGCCUGACGGAGCAACGCCGCGUGAGUGAAGAAGGUCUUCGGAUCGUAAAACUCUGUUAUUAGGGAAGAACAAAUGUGUAAGUAACUAUGCACGUCUUGACGGUACCUAAUCAGAAAGCCACGGCUAACUACGUG